CAAACAUAAGCUGCGUCACAGACACCAGUGCAUUCGAGGGAGAAAGAUGGAAGACAUGCGGAGAAUGGAGAGGAGGAAGCAAGCAGAAACGGGGAUGAUGAUGGAACUCCUCAAAGUCCAUCUCCGGUGAUGCAUAUCCUCCAGAAAAUCUACACCUUCCAAAGGUUCCACAACCUUCAAGAAUAACACCAGCAACUGGAGACCAAGUAUUUAAAUAUUUCUCAUUCAAACUACCAACAACAACAACAAAAAACCCCCACAAUGGAUACGUGUUGCAUGCAACAUUGGAAAAUGGAUGUGAUAGUUAAUUUUAUAUGUUAAGUGUUUCAGCCCCCAGACAUGAAAUCGCAAGGCUCUCGGGCCUUCAGAAAUUCGUGAACUGGAUAGUUAGGUUUCUGAGCUACCAUAGAUACUUAAGCCAGUUCCUUACAACAUUUCCAUCUGUCUGUCAUUUCUGCAAUCACCUGUCACCCUCCCACCCAUCAAUCAGCUGUCUUACUGAUUCUGUAUCUCUGGAGAAUCCUGAAUAAUACAGCAGAAUUAGAACUUUCAAAAGA